rnacentral:rRNA from 1 species
CUAUUAGGCUCUCUCGGAAACACGCCGCCGUGAGUGAAGAAGGGUUUCGGCUCGUAAAGCUCUGUUGGUAGUGAAGAAAGAUAGAGGUAGUAACUGGCCUUUAUUUGACGGUAAUUACCUAGAAAGUCACGGCUAACUACGUGCCAGCAGCCGCGGUAAUACGUAGGUGGCAAGCGUUGUCCGGAUUUAUUGGGCGUAAAGCGAGUGCAGGCGGUUCAAUAAGUCUGAUGUGAAAGCCUUCGGCUCAACCGGAGAAUUGCAUCAGAAACUGUUGAACUUGAGUGCAGAAGAGGAGAGUGGAACUCCAUGUGUAGCGGUGAAAUAAA